rnacentral:rRNA from 1 species
AUUGCGCAUGGANGAAAUCUGACGCAGCCAUGCCGCGUGCAGGAUGANUGCCCUAUGGGUUGUAAACUGCUUUUNUGGCNNGAAGAAACCUUANUNCGUGUACUAACUUGACGGUACUCGCANGAAUAAGCACCGGCUAACUCCGUGCCAGCAGCCGCGGUAAUAU